rnacentral:rRNA from 1 species
AGUGAACGCUGGCGGUAGGCCUAACACAUGCAAGUCGAACGGCAGCACAGUAAGAGCUUGCUCUUACGGGUGGCGAGUGGCGGACGGGUGAGGAAUACAUCGGAAUCUACUUUUUCGUGGGGGAUAACGUAGGGAAACUUACGCUAAUACCGCAUACGACCUACGGGUGAAAGCAGGGGAUCUUCGGACCUUGCGCGAUUGAAUGAGCCGAUGUCGGAUUAGCUAGUUGGCGGGGUAAAGGCCCACCAAGGCGACGAUCCGUAGCUGGUCUGAGAGGAUGUUCAGCCACACUGGAACUGAGACACGGUCCAGACUCCUACGGGAGGCAGCAGUGGGGAAUAUUGGACAAUGGGCGCAAGCCUGAUCCAGCCAUACCGCGUGGGUGAAGAAGGCCUUCGGGUUUUAAAGCCCUUUUGUUGGGAAAGAAAAGCAGCAGGUUAAUACCCCGCUGUUCUGACGGUACCCAAAGAAUAAGCACCGGCUAACUUCGUG